UACGGAGGGUGCAAGCGUUGUCCGGAUUUAUUGGGUUUAAAGGGUGCGUAGGCGGCUUUUUAAGUCAGCGGUGAAAGACAACAGCUCAACUGUUGCAGUGCCAUUGAUACUGAAGAGCUUGAGUACAGAUGAGGUAGGCGGAAUUUAUGGUGUAGCGGUGAAAUGCAUAGAUACCAUAAAGAACACCUAUUGCGAAGGCAGCUUACUAAGCUGUAACUGACGCUGAGGGCACGAAAAGUGUGGGGGAUCAA
rnacentral:rRNA from 1 species